rnacentral:RNase_P_RNA from 1 species
CGAGCUGGCCGGGCGGCCGCGUCGACGAGCGAGAAGUCGCCGAGGAAAGUCCGGACUCCGCAGGGCAGGGUGGUUGCUAACGGCAACCCGGGGUGAUCCGCGGGACAGUGCCACAGAGAACAGACCGCCACGCACGGCUCGUGUUGUCUGCGAGUCGGGCGGGGUAAGGGUGAAACGGUGGUGUAAGAGACCACCAGCAUCCCGGGUGACCGGGAUGGCUCGGUAAACCCCACCCGGAGCAAGACCAAGAGGCGCCACCCCGGUGGCGCUGCGCAGGCGUUCGAGGGCGGCCCGUCCGAGCCUGCGGGUAGGUCGCUAGAGCCCGCCGGCGACGGCGGGCCCAGAUGGAUGGUCGCCGAACGGUGCCUCGCGAGGGGCCCGGGAACAGGAUCCGGCUUACAGGCCGGCUCGUCCG